rnacentral:rRNA from 1 species
UACGUAGGGUGCAAGCGUUAAUCGGAAUUACUGGGCGUAAAGCGUGCGCAGGCGGUUAUAUAAGACAGUUGUGAAAUCCCCGGGCUCAACCUGGGGAACUGCAUCUGUGACUGUAUAGCUAGAGUACGGUAGAGGGGGAUGGAAUUCCGCGUGUAGCAGUGAAAUGCGUAGAUAUGCGGAGGAACACCGAUGGCGAAGGCAAUCCCCUGGACCUGUACUGACGCUCAUGCACGAAAGCGUGGGGAGCAAACAGG